AAAAGAGAAGCGAAGCCGCGAGGUGGAGCAAACCUCAGAAAAACCGUCUCAGUUCGGAUUGUAGUCUGCAACUCGACUACAUGAAGCUGGAAUCGCUAGUAAUCGCGAAUCAGAAUGUCGCGGUGAAUACGUUCCCGGGUCUUGUACACACCGCCCGUCACACCAUGGGAGUCGGGAAUGCCCGAAGUCCGUAGCCUAACAGCAAUGGGGGCGCGGCCGAAGGUGGGUUCGAUAAUUGGGGUGAAGUCGUAACAAGGUAGC
rnacentral:rRNA from 1 species